rnacentral:lncRNA from 1 species
CUGAUACUCGGAAAAGUUUUUUGGUUUUCCAGUAGUUAUUCUAACAUUUUUUUUAUUUAUAAUUCUUGCAAUCUUGGUGCUGUAGCUGGUUCUCAAUGAGUUAAUGUAGAUUUUGUUGCUAUUCAGAUAGCGGAGAAUAUGAGAUUUGUAAAUGAUGUGAAGACUUUAGUUCUUCAGCUUAGACAUGAACCUGGUCUCUUGCUACCUGAUAAUUAUGCAGCAAAAGAACUUUCUCCAAAAAUAGGGGUACCUGUGUUUCUUGGGAAUUCUACUUCUGGAGACCUAUCUGGCGUAUCGAAUAUGACCAACUCUAUUCCAUUCAUUGCUGAGAGUUACAACUAUGUGGAAAACUCUGAUCAGACUACCGAGUUUGUUGGUGACACAUCUCAUUCUUUAGCAAGACAUAUCCAGGAUAAUUUGCAGUUUAAUGGUGCUACAUUUCAUACCUCUAGCUCGAGCCAAAGCCACGUUCAGCUUGAUGAUGAUCUCAAGGAAGCGAAGUUUGCUACGAGAAUGAAGACAAACUCUACUUUGGAAAAUGAAGUAGUGACAAAAGCUGAAGUUAUAUUGAAUCUGGAGAUGCUGAUGAACCAACAGGCAUAUCUGCACAUCCCAGGAUCUGCUUUGCAUCAACUAUCCUCCAGCAGUUCAUCUACUAUCGACAGUGGCAGCUCAAGGUGGGUGGAAAAGGGAAUGUCAAAUGCUGGUACUCAGUGCCAUUUUGGCAGCGCCAAUAUGUCAUCUGGCCUGUUGACGUCUGUGCCGAGAAUAAAUUCAGACCUGAUAUCUAGUUCUCAUGAAAAUCCUGUUGACCAUUUAACGUCCAAUCACUUGCUUGUAUAUGACUCAGGUAGCAGACAUUAUUGUACAGAUGACAGAAACGGGAAACGCGAGUUGAAUGUGUGCAAUGAAAGAAUGGAAAACAAUAUAAUUCAAGCUCGUGGUAUCCCCCUGUCCAAACAUGAUGAGCAUAAGAAUUCAGUUGAGUUUCUACCUGAUUUCGUUCUAGCUGACAGAAAGUAUGAACUUGAAGGUUGGAGUCAAUCUUUUAGAAAUACUGAAUAUCGAGAUGCAUGUAUAGGACCUCAACCAGGAGAUGAUUUGUUUGAUAUUUUGGGAAUUGAAUUUAAGAACAAACUAUUCAACAGUCACUGGAAUAAUAGUUUGAAAAAUGCAUCAUACUCGAACAUGGUUAAUCUGGAUAAAAAAAAUUCUCCAUCUGUAAAAGCUCAGGACACUGCUUCCGAAAUAUAUUCUCUUAACUGUGGAAACUCCAAUGGCAGUGAACAUCUGUUAGACGCUGUGGUCUCUGAGGUUCAUUCUUCUGCUAAGCAGCGCUCAGAUGAUAAUGUUUCUUGCAGGACAACAAUGACAAAUAACAGUAGCCACUGCAGACCUAAUGUUGAACUCCCCUACAGCCAGGCUCAGGUUCUUGAUCAAAUUAAGGAAGAGUUAUUUGGUGUUCCAGAAUAUCUGGCAGAAGCAGAAGCAAUGAGUUGUUCAUUUUUAUCUGGAUCUUCUAAGGAUUAUUCGAGCACCUAUUCCCUGAAUAGUUCCAUUUAUGGAUCACAAAUAAGUUCAUCAGUUGUAAAGGGUCAGGACAUCAAACAGAGUAGCUGUGCAUCUACAGGAUACUCUAAGAAGCCUGAUGAAAUGUGCAAAACAAAUCGCAAGAGGCUUAAACCAGGAGAAAAUCAUAGGCCAAGGCCGAAGGAUCGCCAGAUGAUCCAAGAUCGUGUAAAGGAAUUAAGGGAAAUUGUGCCAAAUGGGGCAAAGGUGACAUUUCUUGUCUUUGGCUCAAACUAUUUCCUUGUCUCUAUAGGCAGAUAAUUCUUAUAUCCUGUAGUAAUUCUAUUGAUUUGGUCAACAGUGUAGCAUUGAUGCUCUUCUCGAACGGACUAUCAAGCAUAUGCUUUUUUUGCAAAAUGUCACAAGGCAUGCAGACAAGCUGAAACAAACAGGAGAGCCAAAGGUGCGAGAUACCGACUUGUUUUUCUCGAGUGUUGGAUACUACUUUUUGACCUAUGUUAUGCAUUGAGCGAAUUGGACUUGAGAGAUGCUGUUUUUGUUCAGAGAUAUAAAGCAUGUCUGGCCUUACUGAAAAGAGAUAAUUUUUUUGCCAAACAUGUUGAGCUUUUUCGGAAGUUACUUUUUUGGGGAAUUUUUAGUUCUAAAACUUAAUUUUAUAAAAUUCUUAUUUUCUACAGAAGUACUUUCAUUUUUUUAGGCUUAGCCAAACAUUUUUAUUAUAAUCUACAUUAGCAGACAGUUUAUGUGAAUUUUAUGAAAAACAUAUUAAUAUGGAAAUUUAGAAUGCAAAAGUUGGCAAGAAGAGUAAUACAAUGUCCAAUGGACAUCUCAAUAGGCUUUACAUAGGAAAGUUGAGAAAUAAAUAUGAGAUUGUUCAUCUUCUUAAGCUUCAGAUUGUUAGCAAGGAUGGCGGUUUGCUCUCGAAAGAUAACUUUGAAGGAGGAGCAACUUGGGCAUAUGAAGUUGGUUCGCAGGCUAUGGUAUGCCCUAUCAUAGUUGAAGAUCUAAAUCAACCCCGUCAAAUGCUUGUGGAGGUAAUCACUGUCUUCUGUUACAUCUCAAGUCCACGUGAUAACUGUUACUGGCCAUUGUACACAGUGGCAGAUGUUUGUUGUUCUUUUCCUCACUGUUUUCCUUUGUGGCAGAUGCUUUGUGAAGAGAGAGGUUUGUUUUUAGAAAUUGCUGACGUAAUUCGAGGGUUGGGGUUAACCAUUUUGAAGGGGGUUAUGGAAACUCGGAAAGACAAUAUAUGGGCACACUUUGCUGUGGAGGUAAUAGUUAUGAAUUCGUUGGGCUUGAUCUCCUUUACGAUUU